UACGGGGGGGGCAAGCGUUGUUCGGAAUUACUGGGCGUAAAGGGCUCGUAGGCGGCCAACUAAGUCAGACGUGAAAUCCCUCGGCUUAACCGGGGAACUGCGUCUGAUACUGGAUGGCUAGAGUUUGGGAGAGGGAUGCGGAAUUCCAGGUGUAGCGGUGAAAUGCGUAGAUAUCUGGAGGAACACCGGUGGCGAAGGCGGCAUCCUGGACCGACAUUGACGCUGAUGAGCGAAAAGCUGAGGGGAGCAAACGGGG
rnacentral:rRNA from 1 species